GGAGAGGUGGCCGAGUUGGUUGAUGGUGCACGCCUCGAAAGCGUGUUAUCCUUUACGGGAUACGAGAGUUCGAAUCUCUCCCUCUCCGCCA
rnacentral:tRNA from 1 species